UACGAAGGGGCUAGCGUUGCUCGGAAUCACUGGGCGUAAAGGGUGCGUAGGCGGGUCUUUAAGUCAGGGGGUGAAAUCCUGGAGCUCAACUCCAGAACUGCCUUUGAUACUGAAGAUCUUGAGUCCGGGAGAGGUGAGUGGAACUGCGAGUGUAGAGGUGAAAUUCGUAGAUAUUCGCAAGAACACCAGUGGCGAAGGCGGC
rnacentral:rRNA from 1 species